GUCGUGCUCUUCGAGUCGGCCGUAAGAGAUAACUCAAGUCCGUCUUAAGCCCUAACGUUGUCGAGAAGUAUCGGCGGACCGUGCCGGCGACUUCGAACAGCCGCAGCGAAGACAGACGUAAAUGGGAGUUCGCAAAACUCGCGGAAAUGAAGAGUUUUUUUGCUUGUAAACCGAUAAAAAAAGGCAAAUUUUUUGGACUUGAACUGAACGAAUGAGCGGUCGACGUUGCAAGGUACUUCCUGAGUUCGGUCCUGCAGAAAGAUGGUGGAGCUUGUUUUUGAAGACAUUUUCACUUUGACCAGACUGGAUCCAGAUGGUAAAAAGUUUGAUAAAGGGAAAUCUAUGCUUCUUUUGGUGGACUACCGAUGAUGCUGAAGGGGUAUCCUCCUGCAGCUCAGUUCGAGUUGGACCAAAGGCUUUUUCUUUUGAUGAGAAAAGUGUAAAUCGUACUGUCUAACUACACUGAACCGAAUGAGACUUAUUUGUUGAGAUUACAACUGUAGACUUUGUUGGUCUGUGCUAUUGCCUUUUGAAUAGCUAAAAUACUUUUGACCUCGACAUGAAACUUAUUAUGAAUGAAGAUCUUCUGGGAAGUUGGUUC